rnacentral:tRNA from 1 species
GGGCCGUUAGCUCAGGUGGUAGAGCAGCUGCCUUUUAAGCAGCGGGUCCAAGGUUCGAGUCCUUGUGCACCCACCA